rnacentral:rRNA from 1 species
GACCGUGCAAAGGUAGCAUAAUCAUUUGCCUUAUAAUUGAAGGCUAGUAUGAAUGGUUUGACGAGAAUUAAGCUGUCUCUUUUCAAUUGAAUAGAAUUUUAUAAAGAGGUGAAGAAGCCUCUAUAUAAUUGAAAGACAAGAAGACCCUAUCGAGCUUUAAGAAACUUAACAGGCUUAUCACAUAUUUAUUAAAAAAAUAAGGCUGCUAAAAACUUUGGUUGGGGCGACUAAGGAACAAACAAAGCUUCCUCUAUAAUAAAAAACUUACAGGUGUUGAUCCAAUAAAUUUGAUUAAAGAAAUUAGUUACCGUAGGGAUAACAGCAUAAUCUUCUUUGAGAGCUCUUAUCGAAAAGAAGGUUUGUGACCUCGAUGUUGGACCAGAAUACCCAGAAGAUGCAGCCGUCUUCAAUGGUUGGUCUGUUCGACCAUUAAAAUUCUACGUGAUCUGAGUUCAGACCGGCGUGAGCCAGGUCAGUUUCUAUCUUCAAUUAUUAAAAUAGCCUUAGUACGAAAGGACCAGGCUAUUGCAAGUUUUGUAUUGGGAUGAUUAAAUAUAAAGAGUAAUUGAGCCUAUCAAAUAUCAAAUUAGCAAAGAUUAAUGCAAUUGACUUAGGAUCAAUAGACAUAGGUGGAACUCCUUUAUUUGAUA